GCCUGUCUAGCUGAGUUGGUAGACCACAAAGCUCUUAACCUUGUGGUCGUGGGUUCGAGCCCCAUGGUGGGCG
rnacentral:tRNA from 1 species